rnacentral:lncRNA from 13 species
UUCAUGAAACUUAAAUGAAGUUGAUCCAUCGAUAGAUCCAUCUCUGUUUCUCUAAGUGCCUGGAAACAUAAUAAAUCCUAUAAAGAUUUUUGGAUGAAUGAAGGAAAGAAAUAAUAAAGCUCAAUGGGACAGUCAGUAAGGAAUGACUUAACAGAUAAAGCAGUAAAAGUUACAGGAAUCGACUUUUGGAGACAUCACAAUCUAGUCAAGUCUUGGAGACCUGAAGGAGUCCCUGACAGCUCAGAAUGCCCUCAAUAUCGCUGUGAAGAAAUAAAGGAUCUAAAGCUGAGAAUCACCAAAAAUAAGUAACUGAGUGAGGACUACUCAUUCUACUUAGUCCCACCUUCGUCGUCCCAGAUACUGUCAGUUACUUCCAUCUUUCCCUUUGAGAUUUGCCACCAGAUAUUAGAACUCCCCUUUGGCACACACCUGCAGGUUAGGAAGGAGACCCUUAAUCCUCUUAAGCUUCUAAGACCACUUCCCCCUAGACGUCUAAAUCGCAUUUCCAUAGGAGAAGUAAAGGCUGCCAGACAGGGCACCACCCGGAUCGCAGGCAUGGAAUGGAGGAAUCUUUCCGGAAGGCGUUUUUUUGUUUAAACAUGAUCAAACCC